UACGUAGGGGGCAAGCGUUGUCCGGAUUUAUUGGGCGUAAAGAGCGUGUAGGCGGCCAUACAGGUCAGCUGUGAAAACUCGAGGCUCAACCUCGAGACGUCGGUUGAAACCGUAUGGCUAGAGUCCGGAAGAGGAGAGUGGAAUUCCAGGUGUAGCGGUGAAAUGCGUAGAUAUCUGGAGGAACACCGGUGGCGAAGGCGGCAUCCUGGACCGACACUGACGCUGAGGAGCGAAAGCCAGGGGAGCAAACGGG
rnacentral:rRNA from 1 species